rnacentral:rRNA from 1 species
AGAGUUUGAUCCUGGCUCAGAUUGAACGCUGGCGACGUGCUUAACACAUGCAAGUCGUGCGAGAAAGUAGACUUCGGUCUAUGAGUAGAGCGGCGCACGGGUGAGUAACGCGUGGAUGAUCUACCCUUGAGUUCGGGAUAACGGUGCGAAAGCGCCGCUAAUACCGUAUAACAAUCCAUUUCAUCGUGGGUUCAAAGCAGGCCUCUUCGUGAAAGCUUGCGCUUGGGGAUGAGUCCGCGUCCCAUUAGCUUGUUGGCGGGGUAACGGCCCACCAAGGCUACGAUGGGUAGCUGGUCUGAGAGGAUGAUCAGCCACACUGGAACUGAAACACGGUCCAGACUCCUACGGGAGGCAGCAGUGGGGAAUAUUGCGCAAUGGGGGAAACCCUGACGCAGCGACGUCGUGUGAGGGAAGAAGGCCUUCGGGUC